rnacentral:rRNA from 1 species
AUGGCGCAUGUGGUGAGCGCCUCGCUAGGCGCGUUGGGUCCCUUGCUGGUGAAGCUUACCGGCCUGCUUGCCGACGAGUAUGGCCGCCUCAAAAGCGUUCGGCGUCAGAUCAUGCCACUUAGAUAUGAGCUAGCCAGUAUGGAAGCUGCGGUCAGGAAGUAUUCUAUGCUAGAAGAUCCAGAUAUCCAGGUCAAGCAAUGGAUCUCCAUGGUGAGAGAGUUGGCAUACGAUAUAGAGGAUUGCAUAGAUAUUUUCAUUUACCGGAUCGGCAAUGGUGGACGUCAGAGCGGCUUCAAGGACUUCUUCUGCAAUACCACUCGCCAACUAAAGGCCCUUGGAGCACGACGUGGAAUCGCCGACCAAAUCGAUGAACUCAAGGCUCGGAUCAGGCAUGUGAAAGAGCUCAAGAACAGUUACAAUCUGGAUGCUACUACUUGUAGCAUGUCUAGCCAUAUAGCCGUUGAUCCACGACUAUGUGCUAUUUUUGCCGAGGAGACAAAUCUUGUGGGCAUUGAUGGUCCAAGAGAUGAUCUUGCCAAAUGGAUAGUGGACGAGAAAGUCAUACAUAGUAGGGUGUUGUCUAUUGUUGGGUUUGGUGGAUUAGGGAAGACAACAUUAGCCAAUGAGGUUUAUCACAAGGUUCAAGGGCAUUUUGAUUGCCGGGCUUUUGUAUCAAUCUCACAGAAGCCAAACAUAAGAAAAAUUAUCAACGAUCUAAUCUACAAAUUGCCUCACCCAGACGGGUUCACAAAUAAUAGCGACAUUUGGGAUGAAAUUACAUCUAUUGCAAAGCUUAGAGAGCUACUGCAAGAUAAGAGGUAUCUUAUCAUAAUUGAUGAUUUAUGGUGUACACAAGCAUGGAGCACUAUCAAGUGUGCUUUACCAGAGAAUAAUUGUUCUAGUAGAAUAAUAGCUACUACACGCAUUAGAGAUGUAGCAAGGUCAUGUUGUCCAAGCUAUUAUGACUGUGUGUAUGACAUGGAAGCCCUAAGUGAUCUGCACUCCGAAAUAUUGUUCCACAAAAGAACUUUUGGCUCUGAGAACUGUUGCCCAAACACGUUGAAGGAAGUUUCAGAUAAAAUCCUCAAAAAAUGUGGAGGCUUACCAUUGGCAAUUAUAACUAUCUCUAGUUUACUAGCAAACAAACCAGUUGUCAAGGUAGAGUGGGAGAAGGUUAAUAAGUCAAUCGGUUCUACUUUGGAAAAUAACAAGAGCCAAGAGGGAAUGAAUAGCAUAUUAUGCCUUAGUUAUAAUGAUCUUUCACCUAAUCUCAAGACAUGUUUGUUGUAUUUAAGUGUUUUCCCCGAGGAUUAUACUAUUGAUAGGGACAAGCUAGUGAGGCGAUGGAUAGCAGAAGGCUUUAUCUCUGAAGAGUGUGGACAAUGUCAGCAAGAGGUCGCUGAGAACUACUUCUAUGAGCUCAUCAAUAAAAGCUUGGUUCAACCAGUGUACAUUGGUUAUGAUGGCAAAGCUAGUACCUGCCGAGUCCAUGACAUGAUGCUUGAUAUUAUCAUUUCAAAAUCGGUUGAAGAUAAUUUCAUUAUUGUUGUUGAUGGAGAAGGAGGACAAACGUGCUUGCCAAAUCAUCAUGGUUUUAUUCGAAGACUAUCCAUCCAACACAUUGGCAGGGAGCUUUCUUAUGCAUUGGCAUGUAAAGAUCUACGCCAUGUUCGAUCUCUAACUGCAACGUCGUCAGAUUGCAUCAAACACUUGCCUAGCCUUGUUGAAUUUGAAGCUUUGCGUGUACUAGAUUUUGAGGAUUGUGAGGGUUUGGACGAGUACGAUAUGCACAAUAUGGACAAAUUGUUCAACCUAAAAUACCUCAGCUAUAGGUGCACGGGCAUAUCAAAGCUACCAUCAGGGAUUGUAAUGUUAGGUGAGCUAGAGACCCUAGAUCUUAGGGAUACAUGUGUGCAAGAGUUGUCAUCUGGAAUAGUUCAGCUCAUUAAACUACAACACCUACUUGUUGCAGUGGGAACUAAGAUACCAAAUGGAAUUGGAGUAAUGAGGAACUUGAGAGUCAUUUUGGGCUUUAAUAUUACCCGUAGCCCAGUAGCUGCAGUGGAGGAUCUCGGGGACCUAACAAGGUUGUCUGAACUUGACAUAUAUUUAGAUGGUGGAGGACCCGAGGAGUACAAAAGACUUGAACAAAUGUUACUUUCCUCACUAUGCAAGCUUAGCGACGGUAAACUCAUGUCUUUACGGAUAACUAGGUAUGGUGGUUCCCUUGAAUUCUUGGAUUCUUGGUCUCCAUUGCCGUUUUCCCUUCAAAUAUUUUAUAUGUCCAGCGAUUGCUAUUUCGUGAAUGUUCCAAAAUGGAUUGCACCAACACUCAACAGCCUUACUUACCUGGACAUUAAUUUAACCGAAUUAACGGAGAAGGGUCUACUCGCUGUUGGGGAGCUCCCAACCUUACUUUGCCUAGAACUGUGGUUGAAGACAGGACCAAAAGAUAGGCUAAUUAUAGUCAAAGACAUGGGAUUCCCAAGUCUGAGGGAGUUCAGCAUCAGCGGGGAAGCCGAGGCAUACGUAACGUUCAUGAAAGGCGCUAUGCCCAGGCUUGAGAAGCUUGGUAUUCCAUGCCUUGUG